rnacentral:rRNA from 1 species
UGGGGAAUAUUGCACAAUGGGCGAAAGCCUGAUGCAGCAACGCCGCGUGAGUGAUGAAGGCCUUCGGGGUUGUAAAAGCUCUGUCUUUUGGGACGAUAAUGACGGUACCAAAGGAGGAAGCCACGGCUAACUACGUGCCAGCAGCCGCGGUAAUACGUAGGUGGCAAGCGUUGUCCGGAUUUACUGGGCGUAAAGGAUGCGUAGGCGGAUUUUUAAGUGAGAUGUGAAAUACCCGGGCUUAACUUGGGUGCUGCAUUUCAAACUGGGAAUCUAGAGUGCGGGAGAGGAGAAUGGAAUUCCUAGGUGUAGCGGUGAAAUGCGUAGAGAUUAGGAAGAACACCAGUGGCGAAGGCGAUUCUCUGGACCGUAACUGACGCUGAGGCAUGAAAGCGUGGGUAGCAAACAGGAUUAGAUACCCUGGUAGUCCACGCCGUAAACGAUGAGUACUAGGUGUAGGAGGUAUCGACCCCUUCUGUGCCGCAGUUAACACAAUAAGUACUCCGCCUGGGAAGUACGAUCGCAAGAUUUAAAAAGCUCAAAGGAAUUGACGGGGGUCAUAGCUGUUUUUCCU